rnacentral:rRNA from 1 species
GACGAGGGGUCCAAGCGUUGUUCGGAAUUAUUGGGCGUAAAGCGGGUGUAGGUGGCUCUGUAAGUCAGGAGUGAAAGCCCCGAGCUUAACUUGGGAAGUGCUUUUGAUACUGCAGAGCUUGAGUGUGGGAGAGGAUCGUGGAAUUCCAGGUGUAGUGGUGAAAUACGUAGAUAUCUGAGGAACACCGGUGGCGAAGGCGGCGAUCUG